GAUGAACGCUGGCGGCAGGCCUAAUACAUGCAAGUCGAGCGAACAGACGAUGAGCGUGCUCCUCUGACGUUAGCGGCGGACGGGCGAGUAACACGUGCAUAACCUACUUAUAUUACGGGGAUAAUAUCGGGGAACCGGUGCUACUAAUGCCUAAUAUAUCCAACCGCUUGGAUCAAUAGUUAAACACGGUUUUGCUGAUUCUUUUAGAUGAAGCCGCGCCGUAUUAGCUAGUUGGUAAGGUAAAGGCUUACCAAGGCAACGAUGCGUAGCCGACCUGAGAGGGUGAUCGGCCACACUGGAACUGAGACACGGUCCAGACUCCUACGGGAGGCAGCAGUAGGGAAUCUUCCGCAAUGGGCGAAAGCCUGAUGGAGCAAUGCCGCGUGGGUGAUGAAGGUCUUCGGGUCGUAAAGCUCUGUUGUUAGGGAAGAAAAAAUGUGUAAGUAACUCUGCACGUCUUGACGGUACCUAAUCAGAAAGCCCCGGCUAACUUCGUG
rnacentral:rRNA from 1 species